UGUGGCACAAUAGCUCUGUCGGUAGGGCAUGAGAAUCUUAAUCUAAGGGCCAUGGGUUCAAGCCCCACGUCGGAAAAA